rnacentral:tRNA from 1 species
GCGCCAGCGGUCUGCGGGGACUAGCGGUCUACGAACCGUGAGGCGUGGGUUCAACUCCCACCUGGCGCU